rnacentral:rRNA from 1 species
CACGUAGGGGGCGAGCGUUGUCCGGAAUCAUUGGGCGUAAAGAGCUCGUAGGCGGCUUGUCGCGUCGGAUGUGAAAGCCCGGGGCUUAACUCCGGGUCUGCAUUCGAUACGGGCAGGCUAGAGUUUGGUAGGGGAGAUCGGAAUUCCUGGUGUAGCGGUGAAAUGCGCAGAUAUCAGGAGGAACACCGGUGGCGAAGGCGGAUCUCUGGGCCGAUACUGACGCUGAGGAGCGAAGGCGUGGGGAGCGAACAGG